CCUACGGGGGGCAGCAGUCGAGAAUUUUUCACAAUGGGGGAAACCCUGAUGGAGCGACGCCGCGUGGAGGACGAAGGUCUUCGGAUUGUAAACUCCUGUCAUGCGGGAACAAGAAAGUGAUAGUACUGCAAGAGGAAGAGACGGCUAACUCUGUGCCAGCAGCCGCGGUAAUACAGAGGUCUCAAGCGUUGUUCGGAUUCAUUGGGCGUAAAGGGUGCGUAGGCGGCGUGGAAAGUUGAGUGUGAAAUCCUGGGGCUUAACCUCAGAACUGCACUCAAAA
rnacentral:rRNA from 1 species